GCGUAGGCCUGUGACUUUUGCAAUGGCUAACCCCCUUACCCUUAAGGCAAUGAAAAAUAUUUUGCAUGACAGCGACCACAAAGCUUCACCUUCACUCAGAGAAAGCAUAGUUAAAACUGUGCUCAUUCUGACUUUCUUAUGCCCAUAAAUUUAUCUUACGCGACAGUUAGACAGCGAUAGCACUUAGCGUUCAUUUCACGCAGUUGUCGUGUUCUGUAUCAAACCUAUCAUCAUAAUUACUCGUCACGAAAAGCCAGGAAAAAAGAAAGCUUAAUUUCUUUCCGUCAAUGAUUCUAGUUUACCAUUUGAGGAUGAAGGUGUUAGUGGUUUGGAACGAUCAAAGGAGAUCUUAUGCUACAGUAAGGGUGUUAAAAUGUUAGUGUUUACUAGAAAACUAGACCGGCCAUACCACACCGCGUCGAAUGCUUGGCAACAAGGAAAAACUAAUUUUCAUAUCAAUAAUUUUGAAGGUGAGUGGCUGAGGACAUAUGACACAGGUAUGUGAUGAAAAAUAAAAAUUGAGUAAUUAUCAGACAUAAAAUUAUUAUUUGCAGCUUUACUUGUACUUGACGGGAAGCUUAGCCUAACACUAAGUAUGGCCACAGCAAAGAGCACAAGGCCAUACGACGUUUACGUGGCGUUAUAGGAAACGUGCCAAACAAAUCGGCGCUCGCAUCUCAAAGAUUUGGCUCAAAGCCUUUCAGCAUUUAUUACUUUCCCACUCUCCGGGAAGCGAGCCUCGGAGAACAGCCGGAUAAGGAGAGCUACGUGCUCAGUUUACCUAGCUUUCGUAAACAAUGUUGAGGAAAAAAAUCACAUAAAAAUGGUACUUAUAUAUUCUGGAAGUAAGCUGGAGCGAUGCAAGAAUGUUUUCCCUCUCUAACAGCGUACCUAUAUAAGCAGCAGCGGACUUAACUCAAACAAUUUUUCCUCGAGUAUAGACCCCGACACUUGUGCCAAUUACUCUUGUAUCGCCACUUGCCUGCAAGCACCGAGAACGCCAAGAUGAAGACAACGGUGCUCGUACUAGCUAUCCUUCUUGUCUCAGCAGUGAUGCUGACGGAGGGGGCACCCGCUGGGAAACCUCCAGGCAGAGGAGGGGGCUCACGGGGGCGUCAGCAAGGCGUCAAAUGUGGGAGCAACAUCUGCAAACCAGGCGAGACCUGCGAGCCAUCUUUUGUGGGGCGUGCAUGUACAAAACACGGUGUUUACAAUUAACAGGCCAUUGGAUCGGCACCAACGAGAUCAACCUGCAUUCGCUGCUCAAUAAAGUUACUUGCACUCACCAAGUACUGGA